CUGUUGUGAACAUCCAUGUUAUUGGAAAAGAACACAUUUUCAGUGUAUUUUAGAUGUUUAAAUUCUGACUUUUGGCUAUUAAAUGGUUUACACAAUAAGCCAAGACCAAAUCAAUAAACAUUUUAUGAGAUUCUGUGCCUCUCAGGUUAAUGUGUUAAACAGUAACAUGGGGCUUGGUGCAGUGGCUUAUGCCGAUAAUCCCAGCACUCUGGGACUACAGACAGGCAUGCACCACCAUGCCCGGCUAAUUUUUGUAUUUUUAGUAGAGACGGGAUUUCAUUAUAUUGGCCAGGCUAGUCUCGAACUCCUGACCUUGUGAUCCUCCUGCCUCGGCCUCCCAAAGUGUUGGGAUUACAGGCAUGAGCCACCGUGCCCAGCAGGCUCAUUUUUUAACUUUGCAAUAUUUUAACUUGACAGACCAUCGUUUGAUGUCCAUUUUACCACUGUCUACAUUAGUUGAGGUCCUCAAUAUAUCUUCUUUAUGAACCUAAGUCUCUUUGAUGUCAAAGUAUUAAAUAUCAUUGGUGCAUGCCUGCCAGCUACUUGGAAGGCUGAGGUGGGAGGAUCACUUGAGCCCAGGAUUUGAAGCCAGACUGGGCAAUGUAGCAAGUCCCCAUGUCUUAAAAAAAAAAA
rnacentral:lncRNA from 1 species